CUUAGUUGCCAGCAUUCAGUUGGGCACUCUAAGGUGACUGCCGGUGACAAACCGGAGGAAGGUGGGGAUGACGUCAAAUCAUCAUGCCCCUUAUGACCUGGGCUACACACGUGCUACAAUGGAUAGUACAAAGGGUCGCGAAGCCGCGAGGUGGAGCUAAUCCCAUAAAACUAUUCUCAGUUCGGAUUGUAGGCUGCAACUCGCCUACAUGAAGCCGGAAUCGCUAGUAAUCGUGGAUCAGCAUGCCACGGUGAAUACGUUCCCGGGCCUUGUACACACCGCCCGUCACACCACGAG
rnacentral:rRNA from 1 species